ensembl:lncRNA
UGUGUGUGCAUGUGCGUGUGUGUGUGUGUGUGUGUGUGUGCGUGUGUGUGCGUGUGCAUGUGUGCGCGUGCGUGUGUGCGCACGCGUGCGUGUGCAUGUGUGCAUGUGCAUGUGUGUGCAUGUGUGUGUGCGUGUGCAUGUGUGCGCGUGCGUGUGUGUGCAUGUGUGCGUGUGCAUGUGUGUGCGUGCGUGUGUGUGUGCAUGUGUGCGUGUGCAUGUGUGUGCGUGUGUGUGCGUGUGUGUGCAUGUGUGUGUGCAUGUGUGUGUGCAUGUGUGUGUGUGUGUGUGUGCAUGUGUGUGUGUGCAUGUGUGUGUGCAUGUGUGUGUGUGUGUGUGUGUGGAGGUGGUUGACGUCUGCUCACUCAACACUCUGUAAUUGGACUCAGAGGAUCGAGGAGAUCCUCCCGCAGGCGUUGGAUUAGUCUGAUACUCGCCACAUGCUGCAGCGCUCCUGUCUCCUGUCUCCUGUCUCCUGUCUUUGUCUCGUAUGGCGGUUUGUCGGCGUGCAGCCGGCAAAGUAAAAUAAGGACGAGAGGAGAAAGUCAAAAGAGCAUCGACCGGUCGGAGGACGGAGACAUUUUAGACAUCUACCAACAGAUCUCUCCUCCAGGAGAAACACACACAUACACAUCACAGGCCAAAGGAUCGGAAUCAGAAACAUCAGGGAGGAUAUGGAGGGAGGGGGGGAGCGUGGAGGAGACGACAGCGAGCGAGACAUUUACAAACCAAGUCAUCGAUCCAGCGCGUGGAAACAUUUUGGCUUCUGCAAACACGGAGGUGUUCUAAAUAAGUCGGUCGCUGUUUGUAGAAUAUGUAGAAGCCAAAUAAAAAAACACGGAAACACGACGGAUCUUUGCGGCCGUCUACUAAGGCGCCGUGGGAUUAAACAACGGCGACAGUCAGGACCUCCAGCAGCGUCACCGCUGCAGCAGCAGCAGGUAACUCAGCUCUGCAGACGCCUCAGGCCUCCAGCACCAAACUCACAUCACAGGAACAAGUUUAUCUGUAAAGACGUGCGACCCUACAAUGUGGUUGAACAUUCAGGGUUAUGUGAAAUCCAAACACUGUGUAAUUAUUGUGUAAUGUUUACAUUGAAAAUGGCACCUGAUUCAAAUAAAAGGUUAAUACAUUUGCCAUUAAUUGUUGUUUGCUUGUUUAUAAUAUCCAUAAUUAAUUUAAACCUGAUUUCCUUACAGAAACAACAGGGAUCUCAGAAACUUUGCCUGCACCGUCCAGUAAAGUUACUGAAUCGAUUUCAAGUCACUGAAUCGAGUCGUUCUAAAUUAACCCACAUCGUCCAUGAAUCGAAUCGUUGUUAAGAUGAAUUGUUACACCUCCAGUGAUUAGGAGAACCCAAAAUGACAGCACCUCAUCUUGUACAAGAUCUUUUCUCUUCAUCGUGAGAUCUUUCAUUGAAAGGUCUAUACUCAUAAUCACGUUGUGAGGUGAAUUAUCUUUUCCUAAUCAAAUAAUAAAUAUUUAGUAAUGCUACCAAAUGUACCCAGUGGAGUCUCCUGUGAGUAUCUAUACUCGCUCGACUCGUUGUCAUGGGAUGCAAAGUGCCGCCACAGAGAGCAACUCAUUGGAGCUGGUUAAGUUGCUGUGCUGGGCCGUCAUUAGUCUCCAUGGAGGUAAUGAGAGGAGACGAGGUCUUUAAGACCUGGAGGGGUUCUGAGCUUUUACCGGCUGUGCCGACUAACGGCUUUUCUUCUGAACAAUCCAGUGCAAUAAAAAAAACUGGAAAAUCCAUUAAAGCUUUAGAGAAGAAAUGGCUGAGGAGGCCUGAGGUAUUUGAAGGCUACUUUACAUAAAACUGCUAAAAGAGGGAUUGGGGAUUAUGUCGGGUCUGUCCACGGUGCACUGGUCUCUGCUGGAGGAUCUGGGUCUGUCCACAGUGGACUGGUCUCUGCUGGAGGAUCUGGGUCUGUCCACGGUGGACUGGUCUCUGCUGGAGGAUCUGGGUCUGUCCACGGUGGACUGGUCUCUGCUGGAGGAUCUGGGUCUGUCCACGGUGGACUGGUCUCUGCUGGAGGAUCUGGGUCUGUCCACGGUGGACUGGUCUCUGCUGGAGCUUGUGGGUCUGUCCACAGUGGACUGGUCUCUGCUGGAGGAUGAGUCAAACAGACCAUAAACCUGCUUUAGGGCGGGGCUACACGUUGAUUGACAGGUCUACUUCUGAUUCACAAUUUGAGGCAAAAUAUCUGAAACUUUCCGCCCCCAUUAAGAUAUUUCCAGACCUCCUGCAGUGAAUCAAUCAGACACGUUUCGUUGAGCUAAAAUGUGGAUUUUGUCCGUCUGUCUGAAUCCCCGAGCGACGGACGCCCGUCACACUGGGAGAAAUCUACCCGAGAACACGCGCUGCGAACAAUUUUCUCCCUCCGCAUGGGGUGAGGAGAGGGACCAGAAUGCAGUGCGGCGUCAGCGUCUUGUUAAUAAUGUGUGAAAAAUGCAGACGACCUCUCCAGUGACAUUCGCGCCAUUUGCAGAGAAGAGAAGCCAGCGGCCUUUGGGUCACCGUGAAGCGCUUGUUUUACUCUUCCAUUAGGAUUCCACCACAAACACUUGUGUCUUUUGUGUCUUUUGUGUCUUGCGUGCGUUUACUAAACCAGGUGCUCGUCGAUAGGCGGAGGACCUGCUGUCACCUGUGAUCAGGGUGAUGGAGCAGAACCUGGGCCACGAGGGUCACCGCGGCAUCACGAAAACCAAUAUCUGUGUUUGCUGGUCGAGGGAAACUCGUUUUUUGCUAUUUUCCUUGCAAACUACUCCCAUCAGGCCGAGUUUCUCCAGUCAUGCAAAGCCGCACUGGGCCGUGUUUAUCUAAUCUAAGUGGUUCUCGCACCAUUCUGGCAAAAGGAAUUAGCGCUCAGAUGCGCCGAUCUGUCUUUGUUAUGAUCAAUCCUUGUGGUAGCGUGUUGGGGGACAGCCAGCCAAUCAGAGAGCCCCUGGAGAGCAGCUGAGGAGCUCCGUCCUCACUGGAUACCAGCAGAGACGAGACCGCUCCACUGACCCGGAGGAGUCUCCGCUUCCUCUCCUUCAUCGCUCCUUCUUCUGCUUCCUGUAUCCGCGCGGCUCUUAUUGGUUCACGUUCCUGCGCAGAUCAAAAGACAUCGAGAGCUUUCAAUAUUCCACCAAUCUGCUUGGAAACAGACAAAGGGUCUCGACAGUCUGUGGGAAUCCAUUUUAGAUCUCAGGAACAAAUUACAAAAAGAAGAAAAGAUGUGGUAAAUAAAUACAUUAGUCUGCGAGAUAUUGACUGAAUCUCUCUACAAAGCCUAAGUAAUUAUAAUUAUACACAAUGAUGUACAAUUUGAACAUCAUUAAACUGGAAUUUAAUGGAUCUUUGCAAAAGUCACCCCUCGUUUUUCAAAUAUAUCCCAAGAAAGUCCAGCAUCAAGUGUCACAGCCGGGUUACGUGCGUGUGAUCUUUUCAAAGUGAACUUCUGUCUUCACAGGAAACUCAUAAAUACUACAUUUAGUGUCACCUGUUGAAAGAUGGUUGUAUAAGGAAGCCGUGGUAGAGAGGCCUGUCAAUCAGUGAGUAGCCCCGCCCUAAAGCAUCCCCUGCUGUAUGGUCUAUUAGGUGACCUGUCAAUCAGCGUGUAGCCCCGCCCUAAAGCAUAACCCGCUUUAUGGUCUAUUAGGUGACCUGUCAAUCAGUGAGUAGCCCCGCCUUAAAGCAUCCCCUGCUGUAUGGUCUAUUAGGUGACCUGUCAAUCAGUGAGUAGCCCCGCCCUAAAGCAUCCCCUGCUGUAUGGUCUAUUAGGUGACCUGUCAAUCAGUGUGUAGCCCCGCCCUAAAGCAUCCCCUGCUGUAUGGUCUGUUUCACUGAAAAUGGACCAUAAUUUACUGAGCAAAUUUUACGGUUUGAUAGAAAACACUUCCGGUUGGAUAUACGAAGGUGCCCUUGGGCAAGGCAGCACGAAGCUUCCCUUGUUCCCCGCUCUGUGCAUGUCUAUUUCAGGCUUUAAAGAAAAACUAAAUCCCCCCUGAAGGGAUUAAAACGUUUCCUCCUCCUCCUCCUCGUUCACCUCCGCCUCCUCCUCCUCCUCUUCCUCCUCUUUCUCUACUUCUUCGGGCUCUUGUUGCAUUCACGACCGCCUCCAGAGACAAAACGUGACUUUGCUGCUCUGAUAAACAGACCACAGUGAGGCGACACGCGACAGACGGGAAAUAACAGGUCCACGUGGAACACGCCGUCUGCCCGGUGGCGCCCGGGCUGCCGGCGUGUUCCACGUGCGACGUUCAAACCCUCACCGAGCCAACUCAGACAUCCGGGAGACGAGCGCUUCCUCCGCGGGGGGGGGAAGGAAUCCAUGACGGCUUCAGAUUCCUUCAAUGUGACUUUGAGUCCUCUCAGUCACACCUGUGCGAGCAGAUGCUGUCAGGGCACGAAGAUGGCGUGAGUGGCUGUCACAGCGUGAGCUCAAAUAUUCUCAUUUGACAGUGGCGGGAGGCAAUCAUCCCUCACACACACACAGACACACACACACACACACACACACACACAGCCACACACACAGACAGACACACACAGACACACACACACGUGGCAGUAAUCUCUGCGCUGACAUGACCGCUUCAAUCUGCCUCUUGGCCCUCGGGCCUCCGCAGCAGAGCUGAUUCAAUUUGCCACCCAUCAAAAUGCAAUUUUUCAGCUUCGCCAUCCCCGCUCUCCUCCUCCUCCUCCUCCUCC